GUGCAACACAUCUCCUUGGCAUAGAGUGGAUCAGGUUGUUGAUUGUGGAAUGUUGCUCCACUCCUCUUCGGCGGCGGUGCCAAGUUGCUGGAUGUUGGCAGGAAGUGGAACACGUUGUCGUAUACGCCGACCCACAGCAUGCCAAACGUCCUCAAAAGGGUGACAUGUCCGCUGAGUAUUCUGGCCGUGCAAAAACUGGCUUGUUUUCAGCUUCCAGGAGUUGUCUACAGAUCCUUGCGACAUGGGGCCGUGAUUUGUCAUGCUGCAACGUGAGGUGAGGUUCUCGGGUGAAGGACACAACAAUGGGCCUCAGGAUCUCGUCACGCAGCUGUCCGGGUGGUUGGCCUCGGACGGUCUUGGAGCUGGAUGCGGAGUUCCCGGGCUGGUGAGGUGACACGUGGUCAACGGUUGUGAGACCGGUUGGAUGUACUGCCAAAUUCUCCAAAAGGCAUUUGGAGACACCUAUGGUCAUGAAGUGUGGGUCAUAACCGAAGGAAAAAGAUUGUGGAUACAGGCGGCCGAAAUGAGUUUCCUCAGAAGGGUGGCUGGCAUCUCCCUUAGAGACAGGGUGAGAAGUUCAGUCACCUGAGAGAGACUCGGAGUAGAGCCGCUGCUCCUUCGCUUGGAAAGGAGCCAGUUCGGGCAUCUCGUGAAAAUGCCUCACGAGCGUCUCCCUAGGGAGGUCCUCGUUCCACGUCCCACUGGGAGAAGACCCCGCGGCAGGCCAGGGACCAGAUGAGGGAUUACAUGUCCUCUCUGGCCUGGGAACGCUUUGGGAUCGCCCCCAGGAGAAAGUUACCAAUGUUGCUCUGGAGAGGGAAGUCUGGUGGUCUCUGCUGGAGCUGUUGUCCCCGUGACCCGAUUCCGGAUAAGCGGUUGAAGAAUGGAUGGAUGGAUGGCCUUUGGAGAUAUGGUAGAGAAAAAAACUUUCAGUUUACGGGCAACAGUUCUGGUGGACAUUCCUGCAGUCAGCAUUGUGUGUGAUAAAACCACACAUUUCAGAGUGGCCUUUUACAGUUGGCAGCCUAAAGCACACAUGUGCAAUAAUCAUGCUGUUUAAUCAUCUUGAUAUGACACACCUUGUGAGCUGGGAUGGAUUAUGUUGGCAAAGAAGAAAUGCUCACUAACACAGAUUUAAACAGAUUUGUAAACAAUAUUUGAGAAGAAUAGGGUUUUUUUGUAUAUUGUACAAGUUUUAUAUCUUUGAGUCAACUCAUGAAAAAUGGGAGUAAAAACAAAAGUGUUCCCUGAAAUUCAUCCAGAAAAGUUUUUAGAUGUUUUAAUUGAAUGCAUGUCAUUUAUUUGUACAAAACUUGGUAACAUUUUGAUCAAAAGUUCGUUCAGGAUAUACUGUACAUAUGGAUACUGUCACGCUUAUGGUUCAUGUUUUGUUUUGGUCAUGCUAUGUUUAGUUUUUUGGACAUUUAGUUCUGUUUUGCAUUUCCUUGUUUGUCUUACCAUGCGAACUGAUUUAGUUUUCUGUCACGUAUCAUGAGUUUUGUAUGGCCAUAUUUCCAUGAGCAUCCCCAAUCUCAUCUGUUCUCAAAGCUAAGCAGUGUCUGGCCUGGUUAGUACUUGGAUGGGAGACUGCCUAGGAAUACCAGGUGCUUUUGACCUUUGGACUCUAAGUUCCUUUUUUUUUCACUCCCUGUUUCGUUACCAUGACGACCAAUCAGUUCACCUGUCUUGUCUCACACCUGUUUUCACUUAUCAUGUUCAUUAUUUAAGCCAGUUACCAGGUAGUCAGUCUGGCAACAUCA